UAACAAGGUUUCCGUAGGUGAACCUGCGGAAGGAUCAUUAAUGAAUGAACUUGGGCAAAGUUGUCGCUGGCCUCAGCAAUGGGGCAUGUGCACGCUUUGUUCAUCCACCCUUCACACCACUGUGCACUUCUCAUGGGUCGGGUUGCGUCUGAAAUAUGGCAAAGCCCUUCUCAUGUGUUUYAACCACACACUAUACAAGUUUUAGAAUGUAACAAUCAUGCAUCAAUGCAUAUAAUACAACUUUCAGCAACGGAUCUCUUGGCUCUCGCAUCGAUGAAGAACGCAGCGA
rnacentral:misc_RNA from 1 species